UGCGUAGGCUGAUCCAUCAGUCAGGUGUGAAAUCCCCAGGCUUAACCUGGGAAUUGCAUUUGAUACUGUGGGUCUAGAAUUGUGGAGAGGAGCGUGGAAUUCCCAGUGUAGAGGUGAAAUUCGUAGAUAUUGGGAGGAACACCAGUGGCGUAGGCGACGCUCUGGCCAACAAUUGACGCUGAGGCACGAAAGUGUGGGGAGCAAACAGGAUUAGAUACCCUGGUAGUCCACACCGUAAACGAUGUAUGCUAGUCGUUGGGAUAAAACUCAGUGACGCAGCUAACGCUUGAAGCAUACCGCCUGGGGAGUACGGUCGCAAGAUUAAA
rnacentral:rRNA from 1 species